rnacentral:rRNA from 1 species
AGGGUUCGAUUCUGGCUCAGGAUGAACGCUAGCGGCAGGCUUAACACAUGCAAGUCGAGGGGCAGCGGGAUGUAGCAAUACAUUGCCGGCGACCGGCGGAUGGGUGCGUAACGCGUAUGCAACCUACCUUAUACAGGGGAAUAACCUUUCGAAAGGGAGACUAACACCCCAUGGUAUUGAUUUAAGGCAUCUUAGAUUAAUUAAAUAUUUAUAGGUAUAAGAUGGGCAUGCGUAUGAUUAGCUAGUUGGUAAGGUAACGGCUUACCAAGGCGACGAUCAUUAGGGGUUCUGAGAGGAAGGUCCCCCACACUGGUACUGAGACACGGACCAGACUCCUACGGGAGGCAGCAGUGAGGAAUAUUGGUCAAUGGGCGCAAGCCUGAACCAGCCAUGCCGCGUGCAAGGAAGACGGCCUUAUGGGUUGUAAACUGCUUUACAUAAGACUAACCGUAUAUUUGCGAAUAUACCUGAAUGUAUUAUGAGAAUAAGGAUCGGCUAACUCCGUGCCAGCAGCAGC